UUCGCCAGGGGACUACGAGCAUUUACAGAGCUUAAAACCCAAAGGACUUGGCGGUGCUUUAAAUCCAUCUAGAGGAGCCUGUUUUUGAACCGAUGAUCCCCGAUCAACCUCACCUUCUUUUGCCCUAAUGUAACAGCCUGUAUACCUCCGUCGUCAGCUUACCCUGCAAAGGACCCAAAGUAGGCACAAUCGAUUAUUAUAUCCCCAACAAGUCAGGUCAAGGUGCAGCCUACAAGAAGGAUAAAAUGGGCUACAUUUACUGACACAGUAAACUACGAAUCAUACGAUUGAAAUAUAAAUGUGAAGGAGGAUUUAGUAGUAAGAUAAGAGCAGAGUGCUUCUCUGAAAAAGGCCCUAAAGCGCGUACACACCGCCCGUCGCCCUCCUCAAUAAACAUCCCCACCUCAUAAAUAAUAAGCCAAAUGGACUAUCAACGAGGAGGUAAGUCGUAACAUGGUAAGGGUACCGGAAGGUGUCCUUGGGACAAC
rnacentral:rRNA from 1 species